GAAGCUGCGGCAGCGACACUCAGGUGUUGUUGGGUAGGGGAGCGUUCUGUAAGCCUGCGAAGGUGGCCUGUGAGGGUUGCUGGAGGUAUCAGAAGUGCGAAUGCUGACAUAAGUAACGAUAAAGCGGGUGAAAAGCCCGCUCGCCGGAAGACCAAGGGUUCCUGUCCAACGUUAAUCGGGGCAGGGUGAGUCGACCCCUAAGGCGAGGCCGAAAGGCGUAGUCGAUGGGAAACGGGUUAAUAUUCCCGUACUUGGUGUUACUGCGAAGGGGGGACGGAGAAGGCUAUGUUGGCCGGGCGACGGUUGUCCCGGUUUAAGCGUGUAGGUGUGUGUUCCAGGUAAAUCCGGUU
rnacentral:rRNA from 1 species